rnacentral:rRNA from 1 species
UACAGAGGUCCCGAGCGUUGUUCGGAUUCACUGGGCGUAAAGGGUGCGUAGGUGGCGAGGUAAGUCGGAUGUGAAAGCUCGGAGCUCAACUCCGAAAUGGCAUUGGAAACUAUCUUGCUCGAGGGUUGGAGGGGGGACUGGAAUACUUGGUGUAGCAGUGAAAUGCGUAGAUAUCAAGUGGAACACCAGUGGCGAAGGCGAGUCCCUGGACAACUCCUGACACUGAGGCACGAAAGCUAGGGGAGCAAACAGG